UACGGAGGGGACUAGCGUUGUUCGGAAUUACUGGGCGUAAAGCGCACGUAGGCGGAUUUGUAAGUCAGGGGUGAAAUCCCGGGGCUCAACCUCGGAACUGCCUUUGAUACUGCAAAUCUCGAGUCCGGAAGAGGUGAGUGGAAUUCCUAGUGUAGAGGUGAAAUUCGUAGAUAUUAGGAAGAACACCAGUGGCGAAGGCGGCUCACUGGACCGGUAUUGACGCUGAGGUGCGAAAGCGUGGGGAGCAAACAGG
rnacentral:rRNA from 1 species